rnacentral:tRNA from 1 species
GCACCUGUAGCUUAACUGAAUAGAGCACAUGACUACGGAUCAUGAGGUUGGAGGUUUGAGUCCUUUCAGGUGCACCA